rnacentral:rRNA from 1 species
UACGUAGGGUGCAAGCGUUGUCCGGAAUUAUUGGGCGUAAAGAGCUCGUAGGUGGCUUGUCGCGUCGGCUGUGAAAACUCGGGGCUCAACCCCGAGCCUGCAGUCGAUACGGGCAGGCUAGAGUCCGGCAGGGGAGACUGGAAUUCCUGGUGUAGCGGUGAAAUGCGCAGAUAUCAGGAGGAACACCGGUGGCGAAGGCGGGUCUCUGGGCCGGAACUGACGCUAAGGAGCGAAAGCGUGGGGAGCGAACAGG